UACGGAGGGUGCAAGCGUUUAUCCGGAUUCACUGGGUUUAAAGGGUGCGUAGGUGGGAAUGUAAGUCAGUGGUGAAAUCUCCGUGCUUAACAUGGAAACUGCCAUUGAUACUAUGUUUCUUGAAUUUUCUGGAGGUCAGCGGAAUAUGUCAUGUAGCGGUGAAAUGCUUAGAUAUGACAUAGAACACCAAUUGCGAAGGCAGCUGGCUACAGGGAUAUUGACACUGAGGCACGAAAGCGUGGGGAUCAAACAGG
rnacentral:rRNA from 1 species